GGUUCUUUGGUGCAGUUGGAAGCACGUUGCGUUACGCAGAGUCUUUGGGCAGCUCAAUUUAUUGAGCGGAUGUAAACCGGGCUAGGGUAUGCAGACACAACAGACUCUGGGUUCGAAUCCCGGAAGGGGCA